GAUGAACGCUGGCGGCGUGCCUAAUACAUGCAAGUCGAGCGAACAGACGAGGAGCUUGCUCCUCUGACGUUAGCGGCGGACGGGUGAGUAACACGUGGAUAACCUACCUAUAAGACUGGGAUAACUUCGGGAAACCGGAGCUAAUACCGGAUAAUAUAUUGAACCGCAUGGUUCAAUAGUGAAAGACGGUUUUGCUGUCACUUAUAGAUGGAUCCGCGCCGCAUUAGCUAGUUGGUAAGGUAACGGCUUACCAAGGCGACGAUGCGUAGCCGACCUGAGAGGGUGAUCGGCCACACUGGAACUGAGACACGGUCCAGACUCCUACGGGAGGCAGCAGUAGGGAAUCUUCCGCAAUGGGCGAAAGCCUGACGGAGCAACGCCGCGUGAGUGAUGAAGGUCUUCGGGUCGUAAAACUCUGUUAUUAGGAAAGAACAAAUGUGUAAGUAACUAUGCACGUCUUGACGGUACCUAAUCAGAAAGCCACGGCUAACUACGUG
rnacentral:rRNA from 1 species